GCCAGAGAUGGUCCGAGCCUGUCUCAUUCCGAGUCCAGGGUGUCCACCCUCACCGGACGCUUUCCUUUAGCUUUCGGACACUUUCUCCUGGUGGUUGGGGUCAAGAUCCAGAGACUCCAUUUGAGAGAGAGUUUUCCAGCAAGCUAUAAAUAGGCAAAACUAUGAGAGUGGUCUGUGGAGCUUUACAGUUGGACCCUGGCUCCAGGAAUGUGUCUGACUUUGGCAUUAGCUUCGGAUAAACCAGAAAUCCUGCCUGCUGUGCCCUCUCCUUACUGCCCACCUGGACAACCCCUGCUGCUCCCUGAGUCUAAGCUUAAAGUCACCUCCUCCAUGAUGUCUUCCUGUCUGUCCUGGACAAUGGACUCCUUUCUCAUCCACGUCUCAC
rnacentral:lncRNA from 1 species